GAAGGUAUAGCUCAGUUGGUAGAGUAUUUGCCUAGCCUGUAUAAGACUCUGGGUUCAAUUCCCAUAACUACA
rnacentral:tRNA from 1 species